ACCUGCGGAGGGAUCAUUACCGAGUUUACAACUCCCAAACCCAAUGUGAACGUUACCAAACUGUUGCCUCGGCGGGGUCACGCCCCGGGUGCGUCGCAGCCCCGGAACCAGGCGCCCGCCGGAGGAACCAACCAAACUCUUUCUGUAGUCCCCUCGCGGACGUAUUUCUUACAGCUCUGAGCAAAAAUUCAAAAUGAAUCAAAACUUUCAACAACGGAUCUCUUGGUUCUGGCAUCGAUGAAGAACGCAGCGAAAUGGAAUAAGUAAUGAGAAUUGCAGAAUUCAGUGAAGCAUCAAAACUUAGCACGCAAGUUGGGCCCGCCAGUGUUCUGGCGGGCAUGCCUGUCCGAGCGUCAUUUCAACCCUCGAACCCCUCCGGGGGAUCGGCGUUGGGGAUCGGGACCCCUCACACGGGUGCCGGCCCCGAAAUACAGUGGCGGUCUCGCCGCACCCUCUCCUGCGCAGUAGUUUGCACAACUCGCACCGGGAGCGCGGCGCGUCCACGUCCGUAAAACACCCAACUUUCUGAAAUGUUGACCUCGGAUCAGGUAGGAAUACCCGCUGAACUUAAGCAUAU
rnacentral:rRNA from 1 species